rnacentral:rRNA from 1 species
UACGAGGGGGGCAAGCGUUAUUCGGAAUUACUGGGCGUAAAGCGCGCGCAGGCGGCCUGUUAAGUGAGAAGUGAAAGCCCCGGGCUCAACCUGGGAACGGCUUCUCAUACUGGCAGGCUGGAGUAUGGGAGAGGAAAGUGGAAUUCCCGGUGUAGCGGUGAAAUGCGUAGAGAUUGGAAGGAAUACCGAUGGCGAAGGCAGCCACCUGGGUCAACACUGACGCUCAUGUACGAAAGCGUGGGGAGCAAACGGG